UACCAGCACCCCGAGUGUCGGGACGUUUAUUGGGCCUAAAGCAUCCGUAGCCGGUUCUACAAGUUCUUCCGUUAAAUCCAACCUGCUUAACAGGUGGGCUGCGGAAGAUACUAUAGAGCUAGGAGGCGGGAGAGGCAAGCGGUACUCGAUGGGUAGGGGUAAAAUCCGUUGAUCCAUUGAAGACCACCAGUGGCGAAGGCGGCUUGCCAGAACGCGCUCGACGGUGAGGGAUGAAAGCUGGGGGAGCAAACCGG
rnacentral:rRNA from 1 species